rnacentral:rRNA from 1 species
UGCGGUCGAGCGAGCAGAACCAGUAGAUUGUACUUCGUGUAAUGACGCUGGGGACGCGAGGGGCGGAUGGGUGAGUAACACGUGGGGAACCUGCCCCAUAGUCUAGGAUACCACUGGGAAACAGGUGCUAAUACCGGAUAGUAAAGCAGAGCGCAUGAUCAGCUUAUAAAAGGCGGCGUAAGCUGUCGCUAUGGGAUGGCCCCGCGGGGCAUUAGCUAGUUGGUAAGGGAACGGCUUACCAAGGCAAUGAUGCAUAGCCGAGUUGAGAGACUGGACGGCCACAUUGGGACUGAGACACGGCCCAAACUCCUACGGGAGGCAGCAGUAGGGAAUCUUCCACAAUGGACGCAAGUCUGAUGGAGCAACGCCGCGUGAGUGAAGAAGGUUUUCGGAUCGUAAAGCUCUGUUGUUGGUGAAGAAGGAUAGAGGUAGUAACUGGCCUUUAUUUGACGGUAAUCAACCAGAAAGUCACGGCUAACUACGUGCCAGCAGCCGCGGUAAUACGUAGGUGGCAAGCGUUGUCCGGAUUUAUUGGGCGUAAAGCGAGCGCAGGCGGAAGAAUAAGUCUGAUGUGAAAGCCCUCGGCUUAACCGAGGAAUUGCAUCGGAAACUGUUUUUCUUGAGUGCAGAAGAGGAGAGUGGAACUCCAUGUGUAGCGGUGGAAUGCGUAGAUAUAUGGAAGAACACCAGUGCGAAGGCGGCUCUCUGGUCUGCAACUGACGCUGAGGCUCGAAAGCAUGGGUAGCGAACAGGAUUAGAUACCCUGGUAGUCCAUGCCGUAAACGAUGAGUGCUAAGUGUUGGGAGGUUUCCGCCUCUCAGUGCUGCAGCUAACGCAUUAAGCACUCCGCCUGGGGAGUACGACCGCAAGGUUGAAACUCAAAGGAAUUGACGGGGGCCCGCACAAGCGGUGGAGCAUGUGGUUUAAUUCGAAGCAACGCGAAGAACCUUACCAGGUCUUGACAUCUAGUGCCAUCCUAAGAGAUUAGGAGUUCCCUUCGGGGACGCUAAGACAGGUGGUGCAUGGCUGUCGUCAGCUCGUGUCGUGAGAUGUUGGGUUAAGUCCCGCAACGAGCGCAACCCUUAUUAUUAGUUGCCAGCAUUAAGUUGGGCACUCUAAUGAGACUGCCGGUGACAAACCGGAGGAAGGUGGGGAUGACGUCAAGUCAUCAUGCCCCUUAUGACCUGGGCUACACACGUGCUACAAUGGGCAGUACAACGAGAAGCGAGCCUGCGAAGGCAAGCGAAUCUCUGAAAGCUGUUCUCAGUUCGGACUGCAGUCUGCAACUCGACUGCACGAAGCUGGAAUCGCUAGUAAUCGCGGAUCAGAACGCCGCGGUGAAUACGUUCCCGGGCCUUGUACACACCGCCCGUCACACCAUGGAAGUCUGCAAUGCCCAAAGCCGGUGGCCUAACCUUCGGGAAGGAGC